rnacentral:rRNA from 1 species
UACGGAGGGUGCAAGCGUUAUCCGGAUUCACUGGGUUUAAAGGGUGCGUAGGUGGGAUGGUAAGUCAGUGGUGAAAUCUCCGGGCUUAACCCGGAACUGCCGUUGAUACUAUCAUUCUUGAAUAUUGUGGAGGUAAGCGGAAUAUGUCAUGUAGCGGUGAAAUGCUUAGAUAUGACAUAGAACACCGAUAGCGAAGGCAGCUUGCUACACAAUUAUUGACACUGAGGCACGAAAGCGUGGGGAUCAAACAGG